GAUGAUAGGGUCCACCAAGGGGCAGACGGUAGCGGCUGAGAGGGCAACGGCCCACUGACUGGAACCUGUCCGAGCUCUACGGAGGCAGCAGUGGGAAUAUGGCCAUUGAGGAACUCGACCAGGCGACGCCCGGCUGAGGAUGAGCUUCGGGUGGUAAACCUUCUUUCAGCAGGGAUAGGCGAAAGUUGAAGGUACUUGCAGAAGAAGCACCGGCUAACUUAUGUGCCAGCAGGCGCGGUAAUACAUAAGGGUGCAAGCGUGUCCCGGAAUUAUGGGCGUAAAGAGCUCGUAGGUGGUCGAUCACCGUCGGAUGUGAAAUCUGAGGCUUAACCUCGGACCUGCAUUCGAUACGGGUUGACUAGAGUGUGGUAGGGGAGACUGGAAUUCCUGGUGUAGCGGUGGAAUGCGCAGAUAUCAGGAGGAACACCGAUGGCGAAGGCAGGUCUCUGGGCCAUUACUGACACUGAGGAGCGAAAGCGUGGGGAGCGAACAGGAUUAGAUACCCUGGUAGUCCACGCCGUAAACGGUGGGCGCUAGUUGUGGGAACCUUCCACGGUUUCUGCGACGCAGCUAACACAUUAAGCGCCCCGCCUGGGGAGUACGGUCGCAAGACUAAAACUCAAAGAAAUUGACGGGGCCCCGCACAAGCAGCGGAGCAUGCGGCUUAAUUCGACGCAACGCGAAGAACCUUACCAAGGCUUGACAUAUACAGGAAUACGGCAGAGAUGUCGUAGCCGCAAGGUCUGUAUACAGGUGGUGCAUGGUUGUCGUCAGCUCGUGUCGUGAGAUGUUGGGUUAAGUCCCGCAACGAGCGCAACCCUCGUCCUGUGUUACCAGCAUUUAGUUGGGGACUCACAGGAGACUGCCGGGGUCAACUCGGAGGAAGGUGGGGAUGACGUCAAAUCAUCAUGCCCCUUAUGUCUUGGGCUGCACGCAUGCUACAAUGGCUGGUACAAAGAGCUGCGAUACCGCAAGGUGGAGCGAAUCUCAAAAAGCCAGUCUCAGUUCGGAUUGGGGUCUGCAACUCGACCCCAUGAAGUCGGAGUUGCUAGUAAUCGUAGAUCAGCAACGCUACGGUGAAUACGUUCCCGGGGCUUGUACACACCGCCCGUCACGUCACGAAAGUCGGUAACACCCAAGGUCAGUGGCCUAACCGCAAGGAGGGAGCUGCCUAAGGUGGGAUCGGUGAUUGGGACGAAGUCGUAACAAGGUAACCA
rnacentral:rRNA from 1 species